rnacentral:tRNA from 1 species
GGGCCCGUAGCUCAGCAAGGCAGAGCGGCGGGCUCUUAACCCGUAGGUCGGGGGUUCAAUUCCCCCCGGGCCCGCCA